rnacentral:rRNA from 1 species
CCUACGGGAGGCAGCAGUCGAGAAUCAUUCACAAUGGGGGAAACCCUGAUGGUGCGACGCCGCGUGGGGGAAUGAAGGUCUUCGGAUUGUAAACCCCUGUCAUGUGGGAGCAAAUUAAAAAGAUAGUACCACAAGAGGAAGAGACGGCUAACUCUGUGCCAGCAGCCGCGGUAAUACAGAGGUCUCAAGCGUUGUUCGGAAUCACUGGGCGUAAGGCGUGCGUAGGCGGUUUCGUAAGUCGUGUGUGAAAGGCGCGGGCUCAACCCGCGGACGGCACAUGAUACUGCGAGACUAGAGUAAUGGAGGGGGAACCGGAAUUCUCGGUGUAGCAGUGAAAUGCGUAGAUAUCGAGAGGAACACUCGUGGCGAAGGCGGGUUCCUGGACAUUAACUGACGCUGAGGCACGAAGGCCAGGGGAGCGAAAGGGAUUAGAUACCCUGGUAGUC